GCGGUGGUAGUUCAGUGGUAAAAUGGAUGCUUCCCAAGCAUUAGUCCCGGGUUCGAUUCCCGGUCGCCGCA